GGUUAAGCGACUAAGCGUACACGGUGGAUGCCCUGGCAGUCAGAGGCGAUGAAGGACGUGCUAAUCUGCGAAAAGCGUCGGUAAGGUGAUAUGAACCGUUAUAACCGGCGAUGUCCGAAUGGGGAAACCCAGUGUGAUUCGUCACACUAUCGUUAACUGAAUACAUAGGUUAACGAGGCGAACCGGGGGAACUGAAACAUCUAAGUACCCCGAGGAAAAGAAAUCAACCGAGAUUCCCCCAGUAGCGGCGAGCGAACGGGGAGCAGCCCAGAGUCUGAAUCAGCUUGUGUGUUAGUGGAACGGUCUGGAAAGUCCGACGGUACAGGGUGAUAGUCCCGUACACCAAAAUGCACAGGUUGUGAACUCGAAGAGUAGGGCGGGACACGUGGUAUCCUGUCUGAAUAUGGGGGGACCAUCCUCCAAGGCUAAAUACUCCUGACUGACCGAUAGUGAACCAGUACCGUGAGGGAAAGGCGAAAAGAACCCCGGCGAGGGGAGUGAAAAAGAACCUGAAACCGUGUACGUACAAGCAGUGGGAGCACCUUUAUGGUGUGACUGCGUACCUUUUGUAUAAUGGGUCAGCGACUUAUAUUCUGUAGCAAGGUUAACCGUAUAGGGGAGCCGCAGGGAAACCGAGUCUUAACUGGGCGUUAAGUUGCAGGGUAUAGACCCGAAACCCGGUGAUCUAGCCAUGGGCAGGUUGAAGGUUGGGUAACACUAACUGGAGGACCGAACCGACUAAUGUUGAAAAAUUAGCGGAUGACUUGUGGCUGGGGGUGAAAGGCCAAUCAAACCGGGAGAUAGCUGGUUCUCCCCGAAAGCUAUUUAGGUAGCGCCUCGUGAACUCAUCUUCGGGGGUAGAGCACUGUUUCGGCUAGGGGGUCAUCCCGACUUACCAACCCGAUGCAAACUACGAAUACCGAAGAAUGUUAUCACGGGAGACACACGGCGGGUGCUAACGUCCGUCGUGAAGAGGGAAACAACCCAGACCGCCAGCUAAGGUCCCAAAGUCAUGGUUAAGUGGGAAACGAUGUGGGAAGGCACAGACAGCCAGGAUGUUGGCUUAGAAGCAGCCAUCAUUUAAAGAAAGCGUAAUAGCUCACUGGUCGAGUCGGCCUGCGCGGAAGAUGUAACGGGGCUAAACCAUGCACCGAAGCUGCGGCAGCGACACUAUGUGUUGUUGGGUAGGGGAGCGUUCUGUAAGCCUGCGAAGGUGACCUGUGAGGGCUGCUGGAGGUAUCAGAAGUGCGAAUGCUGACAUAAGUAACGAUAAAGCGGGUGAAAAGCCCGCUCGCCGGAAGACCAAGGGUUCCUGUCCAACGUUAAUCGGGGCAGGGUGAGUCGACCCCUAAGGCGAGGCCGAAAGGCGUAGUCGAUGGGAAACAGGUUAAUAUUCCUGUACUUGGUGUUACUGCGAAGGGGGGACGGAGAAGGCUAUGUUAGCCGGGCGACGGUUGUCCCGGUUUAAGCAUGUAGGCUGGUUAUCCAGGCAAAUCCGGAUAAUCAAGGCUGAGGUGUGAUGACGAGGCACUACGGUGCUGAAGUAACAAAUGCCCUGCUUCCAGGAAAAGCCUCUAAGCAUCAGGUAACAUCAAAUCGUACCCCAAACCGACACAGGUGGUCAGGUAGAGAAUACCAAGGCGCUUGAGAGAACUCGGGUGAAGGAACUAGGCAAAAUGGUGCCGUAACUUCGGGAGAAGGCACGCUGGUGUGUAGGUGAAGUCCCUGCGGAUGGAGCUGAGACCAGUCGAAGAUACCAGCUGGCUGCAACUGUUUAUUAAAAACACAGCACUGUGCAAACACGAAAGUGGACGUAUACGGUGUGACGCCUGCCCGGUGCCGGAAGGUUAAUUGAUGGGGUUAUCCGUAAGGAGAAGCUCUUGAUCGAAGCCCCGGUAAACGGCGGCCGUAACUAUAACGGUCCUAAGGUAGCGAAAUUCCUUGUCGGGUAAGUUCCGACCUGCACGAAUGGCGUAAUGAUGGCCAGGCUGUCUCCACCCGAGACUCAGUGAAAUUGAACUCGCUGUGAAGAUGCAGUGUACCCGCGGCAAGACGGAAAGACCCCGUGAACCUUUACUAUAGCUUGACACUGAACAUUGAGCCUUGAUGUGUAGGAUAGGUGGGAGGCUUUGAAGCGUGGACGCCAGUCUGCGUGGAGCCAACCUUGAAAUACCACCCUUUAAUGUUUGAUGUUCUAACGUUGGCCCCUUAUCGGGGUUGCGGACAGUGUCUGGUGGGUAGUUUGACUGGGGCGGUCUCCUCCCAAAGCGUAACGGAGGAGCACGAAGGUUAGCUAAUCCUGGUCGGACAUCAGGAGGUUAGUGCAAUGGCAUAAGCUAGCUUGACUGCGAGCGUGACGGCGCGAGCAGGUGCGAAAGCAGGUCAUAGUGAUCCGGUGGUUCUGAAUGGAAGGGCCAUCGCUCAACGGAUAAAAGGUACUCCGGGGAUAACAGGCUGAUACCGCCCAAGAGUUCAUAUCGACGGCGGUGUUUGGCACCUCGAUGUCGGCUCAUCACAUCCUGGGGCUGAAGUAGGUCCCAAGGGUAUGGCUGUUCGCCAUUUAAAGUGGUACGCGAGCUGGGUUUAGAACGUCGUGAGACAGUUCGGUCCCUAUCUGCCGUGGGCGCUGGAGAAUUGAGGGGGGCUGCUCCUAGUACGAGAGGACCGGAGUGGACGCAUCACUGGUGUUCGGGUUGUCAUGCCAAUGGCACUGCCCGGUAGCUAAAUGCGGAAGAGAUAAGUGCUGAAAGCAUCUAAGCACGAAACUUGCCCCGAGAUGAGUUCUCCCUGAGACUUUAAGUCUCCUGAAGGAACGUUGAAGACGACGACGUUGAUAGGCCGGGUGUGUAAGCGCAGCGAUGCGUUGAGCUAACCGGUACUAAUGAACCGUGAGGCUUAACCUU
rnacentral:rRNA from 1 species